CUGCUGGCGGUGCCUGCCCGCCCGGCGCCCCAGUGUUGAUUAUUUCGGCCAGUCAAUCCGCGUCCGCUCCACGUGCAGCUGCUCGUCGCCUCCGCAAAAUUUUCCACCUGCCGCCGAAAAGGGCGAGGAUGCCGCGGAGAUGAUUAUUUGGUCCAGCAUCGGUAAACCCGGUUAUCAUCCGCGUCGUGACCAGUCGUUGAGAUGCAACUGGCGACUGGUCCAGCAAGGAGACGGCUUUUCUCAUCGCUCGACAGCAUCCCUGCCACCGCUGGAGCUCGAUUCGACGGAAUGAAUCUUCUCACGCUUCUGCAGAUCUAGUUUGGAUGCUGGAGAGUGACCAUGUAUCUAAACGCUUGGACUGCUGCUGAUCGUGCAGCAAAAUAGGUGCAGCCGCGUAUAUGCGUAAAGUACGGUCUCGGCUGUUUUUCCAUUUGCGCCGUGCCAUUGGAUUCUUCCAGCCAAUUAAGUUGAUACCGGCGCCGGACUCUGCGGCCGUGCAGGCGGUGGAAUAAGCGAAGAAUAUUUCAAUUUGGCCAGCUCGAGCUCCAGAGAGAGAGAGAGAGAGAGAGAAAAACAAACAAUACGCGCAGCGUGGUGUGAGGAGUGCGGCGGCUAAUGAGAAUAAUUCCAAGAAGAGGCCAUUUUGGGGAAGAGGAGGCGGAGGAGCACUGCUGCUGCGGCGGUAAUGAAUGAGCACUGCUUAAUGGCUGCACCAAAAAACUCUUAUGCGCGCGCGAAUGCGGCUUGAAAUUAUUCCCCGGUCGCUAAUAACCCCAGGCAGAAACUUUUGGUGUGUUUCCCUGAGGUAAAAAGAAGUUUUAUGACGGCCCGUAAUGCUCUCAAGCUCAUUAACACCGGCUCUAACUUUUAAUUACAUCUCACCAUCUUUAAAUUAUUACCGCGGCAAGGAGGGCCGCGUUUGCUGUGCACAAUUUUGCCACUCGGCUGCUCAAAACAAGUCUGCAACCGUUUUCGCCCAAGGCGUGUGGUACGUGGCUAGGGCUGCAUGGACCUACUAGCUCUGCCCGAGCCCUAUAAUAUGAAACUGGAUCUAUCCCCGGCCCGGCCGCGCGCUAUAGCUCUCUCCGCCAGGCUUUUAAUUCAAUAAGAGCUUAAUUUUCCGGCGGCAGGUCAUUAGCAGCUCUCCAUAUUCAGCAGGUCCCUCCUUCGCCCUCCUGUCAAACACCUGGUGCACCGCAAACAAUAUAUGUAUACCAUGUGCCUCGUGUACACAAAAUGCUAUAUAUGCCGGCGCUUUGUGUAUGUACACCGCACACCGAGUCGAAUAAAGGUGCACGCCGCUCACUGACCGCACGAACUGCACGGAUGGCUUAUGACAAGCCCCAGCACCUGCGGUCUUGCGCCUGAUGGUCACUGCCCUCCAAAGAAGCCCGUUUACGAGCGCAGCAGAAGGUGGUUUUUGUGAUUUUAAUAAAGACAUGAGUAUAAUUUUUCCUGCUGCUGAAAUUAGAAUACAUAAUUAAAGUGGAAUGAUACAGGACAACAAUUGAAAAUUAUUUGAAUUGUUGGAUGUCAUAAAUUUAAUAAUUCAUCGACAAACAAUUUGUUCAACAAUUUUCAAUAAUAAAAAAGGACCUUCUUACAGUAAAAAUUAAAAUUUUGCCAAUUUUCUCCAAAAUGUACAGUGCUUGAACAUAUUUUCUUGGCAUAUUUCGAUUCCUCUCGUCGAGAUCUGUCCAACGGUGUUUGCCGCUUAUUUGGGAAACUCUUGGUUUUGAAUUUAAAUCGGAUUUCAAGUAAGGAGACAGCCAUUACCAUUUGAACAGCACGCUAACUUUCCAGCCAAUUUUCUUAAAAAAUUACAGCGCUCCUUAGGUCAAUUUAGGCUUUAACUGAAUCCUAAGGAAUGAAUUCAUGCAUUGGCAACAAGCAUUCUACAGGCUUUUGCAGCAUCAUUCCUCUUUAAGACGUUGACUUGUUAAUUGUAAAGGGAUGCUCAUAAUUGAUUCAAAUUCGAAAAAUAUUGAUAUUUUAGUAGUUCUUCCGUAAAAGGAGAACGGUGAUUUUUUUAACACUUUUUAAUUUUUAAAAUAUCAGUUCUAGGAUUGUUUGCAAAAUUGUUUGAAUAUGCAAUGCCCUAUAAUUCAAAAGUGCGUCAACACCCAAUAUCAACUUUUCCAGGUGGUUAUAAAGAAAGAUUUUGAUUAUUCAAAAUUUCAUUUUGCAUCUCACAAAUUAAUUUGUAAUCCCAACUGAAAGUUACAUUUAAAAAUAAUAAAGACCCGCAUUUUUAAACUUUAAUUCAGGGAUUGACGUACUAAACCCCUUUUUUAAUUAAUUAACUUAAUUUUGAAACUAAACCAAAAUUAAAAUUGAUUUCCAUCUCACAUUUCUGAGUUACGUGUUAAAACAUCACUGAUAACCAAUUGAAAUAAAAUAAAUCAAUUAGUCUACGCCAUAUUAACAAAAAUGCUCAUUUCAGACCUAUAUACAGGUGUGUUCCGUUAGUAUUUAUUAUUUUAGUUUUGUUGUACUAACAAAAAUUUGAAAUGUAUUACUCGUAAUUUAAUUAAAAUAUUGGAAUUUGGAUAUUUUUCUAUGUUCGAAAUAAACUAUUGUUUAAAAAAAUCGAUUUAUGU